rnacentral:rRNA from 1 species
UACGGAGGGGGCUAGCGUUGUUCGGAAUUACUGGGCGUAAAGCGCGCGUAGGCGGCUUUGUAAGUUAGAGGUGAAAGCCCGGAGCUCAACUCCGGAAUUGCCUUUAAGACUGCAUCGCUAGAAUCAUGGAGAGGUUAGUGGAAUUCCGAGUGUAGAGGUGAAAUUCGUAGACAUUCGGAAGAACACCAGUGGCGAAGGCGACUAACUGGACAUGUAUUGACGCUGAGGUGCGAAAGCGUGGGGAGCAAACAGG